rnacentral:rRNA from 1 species
GAUGAACGCUAGCGGCAGGCUUAAUACAUGCAAGUCGUGGGGCAGCACAGUCCGCCGAAAGGCGGAUGGGUGGCGACCGGCAAACGGGUGCGGAACACGUACGCAACCUUCCUACAGGCGGGGAAUAGCCCAGAGAAAUUUGGAUUAAUACCCCAUAAAAUUUUAAGAUGGCAUCAUCUUAUUAUUAAAGCUUCGGCACCUGAAGAUGGGCGUGCGGCUGAUUAGGAGUUGGCGGGGUAACGGCCCACCAAGCCUGCGAUCAGUAGCUGAUGUGAGAGCAUGAUCAGCCACACGGGCACUGAGACACGGGCCCGACUCCUACGGGAGCAGCAGUAAGGAAUAUUGGUCAAUGGACGCAAGUCUGAACCAGCCAUGCCGC